GCCCCCCCUCCCCUCGGCGCUCCCCCACCCCGAGCAGCCGCCGCGGGUUCGCCGGCCCGAAGCGGAGCCCUCUCCCCCGUAACAAUGAGACGCGGAGCGCACGUACAAACACGAGCACGUUUAUUCGGUACAGACAGGUUCAGUGAGAGACAUCGUCCUGCGAACCAGGAACACAUUGCACACACUCCGAAAAGCCCGGUUCUGGCGGCCUCCUGGAACAAUGCGCUCCGGCUGCAGCAACCGUCGGCCUCACAGGGCUGAAACUUGGCAUCCGAAGUCACAAGGGAGAAACUAGGAAGAAAGAAACCACCCCUGGCUAAGCUGCUUCUGGGUGAUAUGAAAGUGAAAUUGCUGGGAGCUUUGCAGGGAACAGGUAUGUCCAACUCAAUAAAAGCUUUGGAUUAAGAAGUGAAGGAGAUACAAAGCAGCCUCAGCAGAAGUUCUCCAUAAAGCAGUGAUCCUGGGAGAGGCUGGUGCACGUGUGCAUCGAGUCUUGAACUGGAAUGGAACUACUCCAUAAACAAAAUACCAAUACAAUGAUGCUAAAGAACAUAAUUAGUCAUCGUGUGCUGGACUUCUGCUCUCUGGUGUUUACACUGUAAAUGUGGAUUGCCUCUAUCAAGCACGGGGAGACCCAUGGAUAUGAAUACAUGCCCUUGUGUAAGUAACAGAGAUUAAGGGCCUGAUCACCUAGGCUGGAGAGGUACAGGACAGCUGAGCAAUCUCACAGCCUGUUGGAAAACUUUCCUGCUUGGUUUUUGGCUAGCUUAGUUUUGUGCCACAUUAGUGAGCUCAAGCACCUCAGCAAGGCAUCCAAUGGAUAUGAGAGUCAUCACAAGCAGAAUGCUCAAUUCCUAACACAGGUAUCAGACAGUUACACAAAGAGUUUGGCUGGCGCAGCUCAGGAGGCUGCAGGUAGGCUCAGUGACUGGCAGGUGGGAAUGGAGGACCAAGAAUUGUAGAAUCAUAGAAUGGCUUGGGUUGGAAGGGACCUCAAGGAUCAUCAGGUUCUACACCCUUGCUGCUGGCACGGUUGCCAAUUGCUGGAUCAAGUACUAGAUCAGAUUGCUCAGGGUCCCAUCCAACCUGGCCUUGAACAUCUCUAGGAACGGGGCACCCACAACCUCUCUAAACAACCUGUUCCAGCACCUCACCACAGUCUCAGUAAAAAACUUCCCUCUGACAUAUAAUCUAAAUCUUCCCUCCUUUAGUUUAAAACCAUUCCCCCUUAUCCUAUCAUUAUCUAUCCAUGUAUAAUGUUAAUUUCCCUCAUGUUUCUAAACCUCCU
rnacentral:lncRNA from 7 species